AAAAAAAAGAGAUUCCAUAAUAGAGCCAUCCAAAAUGAUUUCUAAAGUUCAAAUAAAUUUUCAGACCUUCUUUUGCCCUCGAGCACACACACAUCAAAUUACUGUAGAAAAGUGGGGAAUGGAAACAAUAGCCAUAUUGAAUAAAGAUAGUUCUAACGUGGCAAUAAUUAAGAACUAGUAUGCAGACAGUAGUUAAUUGUUAGUGAGAUAUUCCUUUACCAGAAAUCUGUGUAAUAUAAUUUGUGUGGGUAUACUGUUUGUAGAAAUGAAUCAUUUUUCCUAAUACAGAAUUGGGAAUAAUACAAAAAGAAAUUGAGUUAAAAAGCUAGUGUAUCACCUCGAUGUACAGAUUUAUUUCUGCAUUGUUCUCUUCUGUAAAAUAUCAAGCUCCCCAAAAUCCCACAAAAAACCCAAAACACCAAAUUUUAAAAAGGCAUUUAUAUAAUGGAACAAGAAAACCAUAUUAUAGUGUUGCCUCCAUCCACAGACAACUGUGCAGUGUCAGCUCAACUGCGUUUCAUUUUUAUGUAGUUCUUAGUGAAUCUGGUAAACAGUCUCUUCUGUGGUUGGGCUUUUAACUGUGGGAAUUGUAGCUGCCUCACACCCUUGCUAUUCAGCUGGAGACUCUGGUGGUUGCUCAAUUGCCCCUCGAGACAAAAAGGCUUUGCUUUCGCCCCUAGGAAAUGGAUUGCAGUAACAUUCUUUUGCUUUUUGGAAAGGCUCCAUUAUCAGCAAAGAUGGGCUAUGCAAAAGAAUUAAAUGAGAGAAGAGGGUUCAUGCAGUUGACUCUUUAAAUCUUAUAUAAUAGGAAGAAAGAAGAAGCUGUUGUGCUCCACAUGGAAGACUCUGUUGUAUCUGAAACAAGAAACCAGGCUCCAGGUUCAUUGUGUGCAUGUAAAAGGACUCUCCAGGUCCCUGAACUUUUAAACUCAUAUACAUUCAGAAAAAGCAGAGGAGAACCUGGCUGUGUUUCAAAGACUUCUCGCAGCCGCGGAGAACAGCUCGCGAAAAUUCAACUGCGGCGCCAUCUACUGGACACACGCCGCGCUACCAGGUCCUGCGGGCAAGGAGAUGUCGAGGUUGCAGAUAAAGGCCCGGUUUUUUGCCCAGGAAAAGCUCGGACACCAAGGACCCAGAAGAAGAGAUGACAAAGUACGUAGGAGUGAAGCAAAGCGUACUGUGCCCUCCAAGCACACCUCCCUCCAGGAGCCUCUGUGUUUGGCUGUCUGAACCCUGCCCUUUAGGGUUUUUAUGGAGACUGUAUUGUGCAGGCAAGGUUGACACAUGGACAGAGCUGUCAAAAUGUGACUGAAGAGGCUGAGGCAAGAGGAUCAUUGUGAAUUCGAGGCCAGCCUGGAAUACAUAGUGAGUUCAAGGCCAGG